CACGGAGGACACAUUAUUCAUUCCAUCGACCAACCAUGUUUGAUGUUCAGACAGGUUCCUUCGAACAGCUAACAGGAAUUGUGAAGAUAAUCUUUCAGAAUCUGCCUAGAGGUACACCCAACCCUACAACUGCCCUGGUUUUGACAGAAAACAUCCCAAGGCAGCCAUGACCAUAACUUGGAAAAUGAAAGGAGGUGAAACCAAGAGACAAGAAGGGUAGAAGGGAACUAAAAGAAGCAAGCAGUGUCAAUCUUCCUGGGAAUCUGGAUGCUUGCACACCGAUCAAGGUCCACCUGAAGUCACAAAACCACAGCCCCAGCUUCUCAAAGGUUCCCUCCCUCCCCCGCAAGUCACUUGAGUUUCAGUCCAUUAUCAAGCUCUAGCUUCCCCAUUCUGUGUGGCCCCUAUUAAAUUAUACAUAAAAUUUAUAAGUUAGAAGGGGGCUGGGCAAAGGGGGAGCCCAGGCCCCUUUAUUACAGAGGUCUGAGGGGGGCCACUUGGGCAAGGCAAGGUCAGCACUGGAGAAAGUUUCCUGGCAAUCAGAAUCCCCCAGCAGACAUCAAGCUGCUGCCUCCUGCCCCCAACUUCUACAGACCAGCUCUACCCCUUCUCUGUUAUAUUCAACAUUUUCCUGUUCCUGGAAAUCCCAGCCACUUUUGGGGAAAGAUGGCUACCAGGUGCAACCAAGAGAGGAAUGCUGCUUCACACAUCCCUACUGUCGGCAAAUACACAAACCUAAAAUACUUAAAACUAAGUUUCAUGCUGUCACCUUUACCAUGUUUUUUUCUAGGUUACCCAUUUUUUCAGCUUAAAAUGAACAAAAUGUGACCUGUUCUUCAUUAAUAAGGAAAAAAUUAACUUCUGGAAAAACCUGAUUGCUUAUUUGGCAAAUUACAGAGAAGGUCAUUUAACCAGUUCCCAGCAUUGGCUAUGAGAUGAGGGACCCAGCCGGGAGGAUGGCUAAGCUGCUUCUGGCUUUCUGCUGCCUUGUGCCAAUAAAGGAAGGGCCUCCCUGAUGGUGCUCCUGGCCUUCAAAGCAAUCUCAUACUGAAAGCUGGUGCUUCAGUUACAUGCACUCAAAGGAGAAGAAUCUACUUUGAAUGGAAAGCUCCCGGGUAUUCCCACACCUUCUUUGUUUGUCUAAGGCCAUGGCUCUGCAGAGCUGCAAUAAACCUGCGUACCCACCCUGCAGAAGGACUGGGCCACAGCUAGCUUGUAAAACAAAACUAAGUCACCAAAUUUAUUUCCUUUAACACAGUCUCUUAGCAGAACCUUUCUAUGCUGACUGUGGCCUUGGCUCAAGCAACAGCAAUUGCAGCUCCUGCUGGUUCUACUAAGGAGGUAAAAAUAAAGGCGACUCGCUUUCAGAGCUUCGCUCUUGUGACCAGGCUGGAGUACAAUGGCACAAUCUCAGCUCACUGCAACCUCCACCUUCUGGGUUCAAGUGAUUCUCCUGCCUCAGCCUCCCAAGUAGCUGGGAUUACAGGCACCCACCACCCACUAUGCCCGGCUAAUUUUUGUAUUUUUAGUAGAGAUGGGGUUUCGCCAUGUUGGCCAGGCUGGUCUCAAACUCCUGACCUCAGGUGAUCCGCCUGCCUCGGCCUCCCAAAGUUCUCGGAUUACAGGUGUGAGCCACCGUGCCCGGACUAUGGUAAGUCUUUUUUUUUUUUUUUUAAGUUUAUUUUUAACAACAAAAAAAUCUGUAUUUUUCUCCUAAAAGGUACCAAAAUUUGGGCAACUAUAAAUGUUUCAUUCUAUACUUAGAAAUAAAAUAAAUGGUUUCUUUUUUAUCAUUAUCUGAAAGAAUGGAUUGUCUGGCUUCUUGAAAUCCAUGGCCUCUUACUGGGACAGGAAAGGCAUUGGAGUUAUGUCCCUAGACUAGAAAGAGUAUGGUUCAUGAGGUCCCUGGCCCUCUCCAUAACUCUGCAUUUGGUCACUAAAUAUUGGUAGAAAAAGUAUUUGUCCAUUACUUUACUUGUUCCACCACCUAGAGCCAAAGGCAUUAGAAGGUAAUUAAUAGUGAUACGGAUAGAAUGCAAGCCACAGUCACCUCCAUCCUUCUCACCAUCUCUCAAGCCCAUGUCCUUGACCUUUGGUAUUUACAUCCAUGUGACACGCUCUACCUGAAAUGUCACCUUUUUCCAGCCUGUCAAAGUUAUUCAUCCUUCAACACUGAGGCAGAAAUGCCACCUCUUCUUAGAAGCCCCCUAGUCUCUGGCCCCCUCUUCUCCCAGCAGCAGCACACAGCAUGUGAAGAGCCCCCUGACAGGCGCCUGUGCCUAUCCAGGGCCUCUCCAGGGCGCUCUACCGGAUACCUGCCCUGAAGGUUUGGCUCCUAAUCAAUGUGGAAUUAAAAAAGCAAAUGAUGGCUCAUGUAGAUGUUACAUGCCUUAUUAAUAAAUGUGAGCAUUUCAAAUUUAAGUAAUUGCCUAAAAUUUUUAUUUUACCUGCUUAGAUACAAUCUUAGGACUUUUAUGCAACAUCCUGGCUCUUUGAACCAGUUUUUGUUCUCAUUAUCUCCAGUCAGAUCCCAGUCAAGACAUUCUAGCCUACAAGAAAAGUGAAAUCUAGAAGUGGGAAAAGCAUGGGAUGGGUUAAUGGAAUGGCAAAAAUUCAGUUAACUCAACAGCCAAAUACAAAGUAGAAAGGAACUGAAAGACAUACAAAAUGGAAAUGUAGCUUGGGGGCAGACCAUUAAAGACUUUAACAAAUUUUAUACUUAAUAUACUGUGCAAAAAAAAAAACAGGAUUUAUGAGUCAUACGGAGAGUAUAAGUUUUAUAAAGAUGACUCUAGAAAUGGUAUAAGGAUGCACUGCAGGCAUAAAGAGGCUAAAAGAGAGAGGACUCAGAAAGAGGCUAUGGGUACAAUCCCAGCAAGGAGGAGAAAGCCUUGUGAUAUGGUUUGGCUCUGUGUCCCCACCCAAAUCUCACCUUAAAUUGUAAUAACACCCACAUGUCAAGGGCGGGACCAGGUGGAGUAAACUGAAUCAUGGGGGCGGUUCCCCCAUGCUCUUCUCCUGAUAGUGAAUGAGAUAGUUCUCUGACGGUUUUAUUAAGAGAUCUUUAUAAGGAGAACAGAUGGUUUUAUAAGGAGCUUCUCCCUUCGCUGGGCACUCAUUCUCUCUCCCGCCACCCUGUGAAGUGGUGCCUUCUGCCAUGAUUGUAAGUUUCCUGAAGCCUCCCCAGCCAUCUAGAACUGUGAGUCAAUUAAACCUUUUCCCUUUAUAAAUUACCCAGUCUCAGGUAUUUCCCCAUAGCAGUGUGAGAAUGGACUAGUACACCUUGGUAUCGGGGCAACUCUUUUUAUUUCCUGUUGUGGACUAGUCGGCCUGGGGAAGAACCAGGUAAGAUUUGGUCCUGUCCUGUGGAUAAUUCCACUUGGCUCUUCCAAAAGUACUUCAAAGUCAGCAUGCACAAGACUGAAUUCACUGGCUUUCCUCACAAUGUUCUUACCUCUAGAUUAGGCAUCCUGAGUCUCCUAGACCUGACUUUGAAGGAAUCAC
rnacentral:lncRNA from 10 species